AUACGGAGGGUGCAAGCGUUACUCGGAAUCACUGGGCGUAAAGCGCGCGCAGGCGGCUUGAUAAGUUGGAUGUGAAAGCCUACGGCUCAACUGUAGAACUGCAUCCAAAACUGUCAGGCUAGAGUGUGGGAGAGGAAGAUGGAAUUAGUUGUGUAGGGGUAAAAUCCGUAGAGAUAACUAGGAAUACCAAAAGCGAAGGCAAUCUUCUGGAACACUACUGACGCUGAGGCGCGAAGGCGGGGGGAGCAAACAGGAUUAGAAACCCUAGUAGUCC
rnacentral:rRNA from 1 species